GACUCUCAAUAAUGGAUAUCUUGGCUCUCGCAUCGAUGAAGAACGUAGCAGAAUGUGAUACUUGGUGUGAAUUGUUGAAUCCCAUGAACCAUCGAGUCUUUGAACGCAAGUUGCACCCCAAGCCAUUAGGCCAAGGACACAUCUACCUGGGUGUCA